rnacentral:rRNA from 1 species
AUGCAGUCGACGGCAGCGCGGGGCAACCUGGCGGCGAGUGGCGAACGGGUGAGUAAUAUAUCGGAACGUACCCAAGAGUGGGGGAUAACGUAGCGAAAGUUACGCUAAUACCGCAUACGAUCUAAGGAUGAAAGCAGGGGACCGCAAGGCCUUGUGCUCCUGGAGCGGCCGAUAUCUGAUUAGCUAGUUGGUAGGGUAAAGGCCUACCAAGGCUACGAUCAGUAGCUGGUCUGAGAGGACGACCAGCCACACUGGAACUGAGACACGGUCCAGACUCCUACGGGAGGCAGCAGUGGGGAAUUUUGGACAAUGGGCGCAAGCCUGAUCCAGCAAUGCCGCGUGAGUGAAGAAGGCCUUCGGGUUGUAAAGCUCUUUUGUCAGGGAAGAAACGGUGGGGGCUAAUAUCCUCCACUAAUGACGGUACCUGAAGAAUAAGCACCGGCUAACUACGUGCCAGCAGCCGCGGUAAUACGUAGGGUGCAAGCGUUAAUCGGAAUUACUGGGCGUAAAGCGUGCGCAGGCGGUUUUGUAAGUCUGAUGUGAAAUCCCCGGGCUCAACCUGGGAAUUGCAUUGGAGACUGCAAGGCUAGAAUCUGGCAGAGGGGGGUAGAAUUCCACGUGUAGCAGUGAAAUGCGUAGAGAUGUGGAGGAACACCGAUGGCGAAGGCAGCCCCCUGGGUCAAGAUUGACGCUCAUGCACGAAAGCGUGGGGAGCAAACAGGAUUAGAUACCCUGGUAGUCCACGCCCUAAACGAUGUCUACUAGUUGUCGGGUUUUAAUUAACUUGGUAACGCAGCUAACGCGUGAAGUAGACCGCCUGGGGAGUACGGUCGCAAGAUUAAAACUCAAAGGAAUUGACGGGGACCCGCACAAGCGGUGGAUGAUGUGGAUUAAUUCGAUGCAACGCGAAAAACCUUUACCUACCCUUGACAUGUACGGAAGCCACGAGAGAUCGAGGUGUGCUCGAAAGAGAACCGUAACACAGGUGCUGCAUGGCUGUCGUCAGCUCGUGUCGUGAGAUGUUGGGUUAAGUCCCGCAACGAGCGCAACCCUUGUCAUUAGUUGCUACGAAAGAGCACUCUAAUGAGACUGCCGGUGACAAACCGGAGGAAGGUGGGGAUGACGUCAAGUCCUCAUGGCCCUUAUGGGUAGGGCUUCACACGUCAUACAAUGGUACAUACAGAGGGCCGCCAACCCGCGAGGGGGAGCUAAUCCCAGAAAGUGUAUCGUAGUCCGGAUUGUAGUCUGCAACUCGACUACAUGAAGUUGGAAUCGCUAGUAAUCGCGGAUCAGCAUGUCGCGGUGAAUACGUUCCCGGGUCUUGUACACACCGCCCGUCACACCAUGGGAGCGGGUUUUACCAGAAGUAGGUAGCUUAACCGCAAGGAGGGCGCUACCACG